AUGCAAGUCGAGGGGCAGCAUAAUCGAAGCUUGCUUUGAUUGAUGGCGACCGGCGCACGGGUGAGUAACGCGUAUCCAACCUCCCCAUAGUAGGGCAUAGCCCGUAGAAAUGCGGAUUAAUACCCUAUGUUUUCCUUUGCAGGCAUCUAACGAGGAAUAAAGGUUUACCGCUAUGGGAUGGGGAUGCGUCUGAUUAGGUUGCAGGCGGGGUAACGGCCCACCUGGCCUACGAUCAGUAGGGGUUCUGAGAGGAAGGUCCCCCACACUGGUACUGAGACACGGACCAGACUCCUACGGGAGGCAGCAGUGAGGAAUAUUGGUCAAUGGACGAGAGUCUGAACCAGCCAAGUAGCGUGCAGGACGACUGCCCUAUGGGUUGUAAACUGCUUUUAUGCGGGAAUAAAGUGAGGCACGUGUGCCUUUUUGUAUGUACCGCAUGAA
rnacentral:rRNA from 1 species